AGCGAACGCUGGCGGCAGGCCUAACACAUGCAAGUCGAGCGGGCGUCGCAAGACGUCAGCGGCAGACGGGAGAGUAACACGUGGGAACGUGCCCUUCGGUUCGGAAUAACCCAGGGAAACUUGGGCUAAUACCGGAUACGUCCGUAAGGAGAAAGAUUUAUCGCCGAAGGAUCGGCCCGCGUCCGAUUAGCUAGUUGGUGGGGUAAUGGCCCACCAAGGCGACGAUCGGUAGCUGGUCUGAGAGGAUGAUCAGCCUCACUGGGGCUGAGACACAGCCCAGACUCCUACGGGAGGCAGCAGUGGGGAAUAUUGGACAAUGGGCGCAAGCCUGAUCCAGCCAUGCCGCGUGGGUGAUGAAGGCCUUAGGGUUGUAAAGCCCUUUCGGCGGGGAAGAUAAUGACGGUACCCGCAGAAGAAGCCCCGGCUAACUUCGUGCCAGCCGCCGCCGUAAGAC
rnacentral:rRNA from 1 species